ACAAAAUGUCCAGUGUCCAAGUCAGGAUAGGAACUCAGGCUCUGUGCCUCCAAACUCAGGAUCUCGUCUGAUCACUUGCUGUCCUUCCUGGAUCUCGGUAAAUCAUGUGAUCCAUGAGUAAUAAAUGUUGGGUAUGUCUACAAAUGGUAGCAGGACUCACUCAGUUCAAUAACCCAGGGAAUUCUAGAGCUGGGCUGUGCUGUAUGGAGAGGCACUUCAGGGAAACAGACCUUUGAGAGUUAACCAAAUCUUUCUGUUAGAAAUGCGUCUGCUGUUGUCUCACCAGUAUGUCCAACGGUGAGGAUACCAGUGGAAAUCACCCAGGAGAAGAAUAUGGUCAUUCUGGGAAUAAAUUCUGCAGCCACGGUGGAUGAGAGAAGCCAAUCCCUCUAGAUAUGAAUGAAGCCAGGCCUUCAGUAGUAGAUUCACUGUGAACCAGAACGCCUGCAGGAGGUUAAACAUUUUGGCUUUUUUCACCUGAUGGCAGGCUCCAGUGGACCACCCAAGGAGCCCUUUGAAAUACUACUUUUCAUGAUAUUGGGGAAGACUUUUUAGAAGAAAGGACAUCUCAACACAAGGCUGAGAAGUAGUUCACCAAGGCAAGUAAAUGAAAAGCACACAUCAGGCUGAGCAUGUAUGAAAUCCAGAUGCAGACACAAGGACCUCUUAAGACCUAAGCUCCUUGGAUUCCAGACCUCCAGACCAAUGGUGGAUCUGCUCAUCAAGUCCCAACUCAGCCACUCAUCUGUCAGCUUGUGCAGGUUUUGGGACAGGAUCUGAAGACCUCCAUGACCUUUCUACUUCUUGGAGUCAUGAUUUCUAAAAUCUGGCUGGCCUUGGUCUUCUUGGCUCCCAAGGUCCUCUACUGCCCAAGUUCCUGUGUCACAAAAUCAACUGUUUCCAUGUGUUAGAAGCAUACACUUCAUCUCCACUAGCAGCAGCAAAGAAUGAUCACCUAUCUUUGUAGGGGAGCAGGGGUUUACUGCAAUAGAGAACCAGGGUAGUGGGGCCCACAGUGCUGAGUUUCAAUCUGUUGCUAGUUGCUAACCAGGUGGCCUUGGAGAAGUUUUUUUUUUCUUUUUUUAACCUUUCCAAACCUCAGUUUGUUCAUCAGUAACAUGAGAAUAAUUAUGGUACCCAUACAUCAUAGGACUGUUGGGUAGAGUAUAUGAGAUAAUAUAUUUAAGGCCUUUAACAGAGCCAGGCACACAAUCAAUGCUAGAAAUAUUAGCUGCUCGUGUUAGUGUUACUUAGAGAAGGGAAAGCAAAUAACUGUCAAAAGUCAAUAAAAUGAUACUCUAAACAUCUAAUUAAAUGCAACCUGAUAAUCAUAGAACUGUA
rnacentral:lncRNA from 1 species